UAAGAGGAUUUUUUUAAAUCCAACAUCACAUUGUAUAAGUAAAAUU
rfam:Picea glauca, whole genome shotgun sequence.